rnacentral:rRNA from 1 species
UUAGGAAUCUUGCGCAAUGGGCGAAAGCCUGACGCAGCGAUGCCGCGUGCGGGAUGAAGGCCCUCGGGUCGUAAACCGCUUUCAGCAGGGACGAAAUUGACGGUACCUGCAGAAGAAGCCCCGGCCAACUACGUGCCAGCAGCCGCGGUGAUACGUAGGGGGCGAGCGUUGUCCGGAUUUAUUGGGCGUAAAGAGCUCGUAGGCGGUUCGGCAAGUCGGAUGUGAAAUCUCCACGCUCAACGUGGAGGGGUCAUUCGAUACUGCCGUGACUCGAGUCCGGUAGGGGAGUGUGGAAUACCCGGUGGAGCGGUGAAAUGCGCAGAGAUCGGGUGGAACACCCGUAGCGAAGGCGGCACUCUGGGCCGGUACUGACGCUGAGGAGCGAAAGCGUGGGGAGCGAACAGGAUUAGAUACCCCGGUAGUCC